rnacentral:lncRNA from 1 species
GGAGAUAAUUAUACAAAUGUUGCAUAAUUAUGCACGCCUUAGAUAAUAAAAGAGUUAAGAGAGGAGAUACAGAGUACAAGUAAAAGCGAAAAAGUAGAAAUUAAAUUUAAAAAAAAAGAUUAAAAAAACAAACGUUAACAUUAAACGUUGUGCAAGAAGUUUAGGGUAUGGUUGCUAAAACAUGUUACAUUUUUGACUCCGUCUUUAGUUGCAAUUGAAAUACCUUGAACGUUCACUUAGCAGGUACAUCAUAGAAUUAUAUGCAGUGUAAUGAUAUGAAGUAAACUGAAAGCGUAAAUUUCUGUGUAUUUCACAGCAUUUCCUGUAUUUUACCGACUCCCUGGUCCGCUAUCUAGGCACUGCAUUACGGUAUACAUGUAGCUCUAGGGACACUAAUACUCGUUGUUUAACCAUUUCUGUGAAUGUGUAAGAAAUAUAUAAUAUUAAGAACACUGUGUCAAUGUGAUAAGAACGUUUUUGAUAAUAUAGUCGGAUAAUAUAUUCGUGUUACUCUUUAUUUUAUUGAGAAGUUACUAAACAAUGAUGUUGUGAUCGACGGGAAAACAAUUAUUUGCAAUGUCCAAACUUGAAUGGGAUUGAUUAAAAGUUCAAAAAUGCCAAAUACUGGAAAAGCCGAUGACUGUGACAAAAGGCGCUAAUCGAAGAAAAAAUAUCAGAGACGAACAAUUACACAUGAAUAAGAUAUCCAUGAUCAAGAGAAGAACGAAUAUGCAUGCAUAACAUCCCAGGUCAAAUAUUGAACAAGGAUCGGAAGAAAGAAUAGA